rnacentral:rRNA from 1 species
UACGUAGGGUGCAAGCGUUGUCCGGAAUCAUUGGGCGUAAAGCGCGUGUAGGCGGUUCGGUAAGUCUGCUGUGAAAGUCCAGGGCCCAACCCUGGGAUGCCGGUGGAUACUGUCGGACUAGAGUACGGAAGAGGCGUGUGGAAUUCCCGGUGUAGCGGUGAAAUGCGCAGAUAUCGGGAGGAACACCAAUUGCGAAGGCAGCUCGCUGGGACGUCACUGACGCUGAGACGCGAAAGCGUGGGGAGCAAACAGG